rnacentral:lncRNA from 1 species
GUGAGUAAUUUGAUAUGUGGAUGAUUUAAUAUUCACAGGCAAUAAUACAAGUUUGAUCGAAGCUUUUAAGCAGUCCAUCAUGAAGAAGUUUGAGACAAGUGAUUUGGGUCUGAUGUCAUACUUUCUUGGCAUUGAAGUAGAGCACAGAGAAGAUCGAAUAUUCAUAUCUCAGAUGUUGCUGUAUAAUCCUGUAAGGACUCUAGUUGAAGUUGGCACAAAGCUAACAAAGAAAAGGAAAGAGCCACUUGCAGAUCCAACUUAUUUUAAGCAAAUUGUUGGAAGUCUCAGGUACCUUGUACCAUACUUGACAUUUCCUAUGAAGUUGGUUUUAUUAGUAGAUACAUGAGUCACCACAGCGGUCUCACUUGCAAUAGCCAAACACAUCAUGCGUUAUUUAAGAGGUACUCACGAUCUUGGAUUAUUUUAUUCUUCAACUGAUAAGAGUGCACUCAUAGGUUUUUCAGACAAUGACUGGGCUGGAGAUUUGGAUGAUCGUAAAAGCACUUCUGGCUACUGUUUUAUACUUGGCAGUGGCUACUGUUUUAUACUUGGCAGUGCAGCAAGUUAAUGGUCAUCGAAGAAGCAAUCUACUGUCGCUCUCUCUACUUACGAAGCAGAGUACAUUGCUGCAGUUUCUAGUGCCUGCCAGGCUAUUUGGUUGACAAGUUUAUUGAGCCAGAUGCAUAAUUUAGUUAAGGGAACUUUAAAGAUAUUUGUAGAUAACAGAUCUGCAAUUACUCUGGCCAAGAAUCCAGUUGCUCAUGGAAGAAGUAAGCAUAUUGAAAUUAAGUAUCAUUUUCUUAGGGAACUAGUUGAGUAAAAGAAGGUUGAAUUGGUGUUUUGCAAGUCUGAAAAUCAAGUAUCAGACAUUCUAACAAAGCCUCUGAAGUUUGAAGCAUUUGUUAGGCUGAGAAGCAAGCUUGGUAUUUGUUCUAUAGAAUCAUGAUUAAGGAGGAGUGUUAGAGUGUAAUCCUGAUUUGUAGGAGUACAAUUUGAAUAAGUCAUGUUUGUAAUAUUAGUUCCUGGAUUUGUUAUAGUAGUGAGUGAAAGUGUGACUAUUUUUAUGGUCCACUUUGUUAGUGAUUCUGGUUGUUAUUUCUUAUCUGCAUGUUGUCUUAUAUAGUCUCUAACCAACUAGCUUUGAUUAAUGAAAAACUACGUCGCUUUCUUACAUAACUUAUUUCUCAGCAUAAUUACUCUUAUUUUACUAACAAAAGCAAUUCCACAAAAUCAGCACAUCAUUUAAAGUACAGAUAUGAUCUUAUUUGAAUCCAAAAUAGCUUUAGUUUAGGAUCAGUUUUGAUUCUGCAGUAAUUAAUUCAGUUUAUUAUACUUGUAAAUAUCUCCUCUAAUGUUGCCUGUAAUUGCGUUAGUAGUCUGAUAUAUAUUGAACAUUAUACAUCAAUGAGAUAAAAAGGAAAACACAUUUCUACAGUUACAUUUUCAUCAAUUUAAGAACUAGACUUUUCAUAUAUGUCUGGUUGAAGGAAUAAGAAGCUUGAAAAAAGCAUCUGACCUCCAAAUCCACAUAGAGCUAAUUGGAUUUUAAAUUUUAAAUAAAGUGUAAGGUGAGUCCUCAUAUGUGUUUAAAGGCCUCACAUGGCAUACUGAGUGAAAGAUGCUAACUCUACUAAACUUAGUCCACCUUAUGGGUUGACUACUUGACUUGUGAGCAAACUCAGUAGCAUGGAUCAAUUCUUUUCGCAACAUUAUUAUGAUUCCAUUAUAAAGAUCUCUACUUAACUAAAUUCUUUGUGACAGAUGCUUGUGUUGGCUUAAAGUGACAAGGUUUCAACAUUUUAUAGCUGGAUCAUGAUCUAGUUUCAUUACUAACCUGAAAUAUCUCUUCAUAUUUCAAGCAUUUAUCAAUACGUCGAAGAGAGUUUCACUCCUGGCGGGGAAGCUUGCCCUCAGAAUUAAGAUUGAUAGUUUUUUUUUAAAUGCGGGAAGGCUAAAGCUCUGGCAGAAAGGGGUUAUUUGCUUCAGAGAAAAGAGAUAUAUGGUAUGCCUCACCGGUUAAUGAUGAAAGAAAUUCUAAAAAGAAAAAAGUCACAUAUGAAAAGGCCUUGAAUCAAAGUUGUUGUUUCGACACAUUUUAAGCAUGUUGCUAACUUGCUAUUAGAAUUCUCUGAUGAUUCACUUUAAAUACGGUGCAACUGAUCAAAACAAUCGAACAUAAAUCACAUUGGUUCAAGGCCUAUUCAUAUGCUUAAACAAAUUUUCAAGUCUAAAUCAGAUGAUAAAGAAAAUCUUUUGAAACUGUAUAAAAAGAAAAUUAAACAGUUAUCUAAGAUGACAGAUGUAGAACCAAUCUAGAAAAAGAAGUUUCUGUAUCCACAACUUAGUCAGUUACAAGACUUGAACCCCUAUUAUUUUACAUUUCACGCUCAAUUACAUUACAACGGUUUACACAAAGAUAGAGGAAUUAAUUAAAUGACUCCAAGAAUGGUUACAUUUGAAGUGGUUUUAAGUUGCCUUCCUUCAUGAUAAAACAAUGCCCUCUUAUCUGCACAAGAAAAUAACUGGCAGCAAUCUUAUUGUGGGCAUGUUUGACUGAGAGCCUGUUUGGCUGAGCUUAGGACUUAUAAGUUAAUGCGACUUAUGUGAUAAGUUGGAGCUUAAAAUAUCUGUUUGGGUAAUUUUGACUUACUAAUGACUUAUGAGUUACUAAAAAUAGAAUAAUAAAAUUAAAAAUAAGAGUGAUUCAUGGGUAACUUAUGUUUUAUGGGUAAUUUUUAUCCAAAAAAAAGUUUAAAAAAAUUAAGUCCCUGAAAAAAGUACCUCAGACUAACUUCUGGCUUUAAGUCAGUUUCUGGCUUAUUUCUGACUUUAAGCCAACUUCUGGUUAAAUUACACAAACAGGCCCAGACAAACAGGCUCUGACCUUAUAUUGCAAAAAUGAAAAAUGAGGACUUAUUUUGAGAAAAAAUUUCACAUUUACAUACUGUUUUUUGGCAUUAAGUAUUUAAGAGGAAUUUAAUAUUCCUUAUUUGCAGAUAUUAGUAAACAUUUACAUACUUUUUCCAAAAAUAAAUGACUUGGUUCUGAAAUAUAUGCAGAAGGGACUUGGUUCUCAAACUCCACAAGUGCUCUGUUCAAGUGCACAAUCUCAACCCCCCUUCUCGUCCCCCAGGUGCACUUCUGAUGUUUUUCAUCAGGCUUGAUGGCAACCUAAAUGAAGCCCCGGGUCUGGGGAAGCAAAGACAUACAAACAGUAUGUAUAUUUGCUAUACUCCUACGCAUGUUUCAUGAUCAGAUGAACCCGUGCCUAAAGCAAAUGGCGGAUUUAUAACAGUUCUUUACGAGAUAGUACUAAAUGUGUUCUCUAAGAAAUGAUACUAAAUACCUUUCUAGUAAUUUUGCACUUAGAUCUCCAGAAUGUUUCAAAAUUCAUUAACCCCAGUGGAUUCCAAAAUUAUACCCCGAUAUUUUGGGUUGAAGAAAAAAGAGACCUUAAUAAUCAUCUGAACUCUGCCUAAAUCCACAUAAAGCUAAUUAUAAUCACUUAUAAGGUAAACUUUCAUAUGUAUUCAAAGGUAAUAAAUCUUACGCCACUGGAAGAAAAUUUGCUCCAACCUACAUGCUUCGAAUGGCAUACUGAAUUAAUAAUGUCAACUCGACUAAACUCAGUCCACCUUCUGGGUUGACACGUGAUUUAACUUAGAGUAGCACAGAAGAUCGACUUCUGACAUUAUGAUCAAUUCCUUCCACAAAAUUAUAAGGGUUCUGACUGAUCCACCAGCAAAGGUAUGAUGUUCACUCAAAUAAAUUCUUCAUGACAUAUAUGCUUGUGUUGACUUAAACAGACAUGGUUUCGAUAUUUUAUAGCUAGACCAUGAUCUAGUUCCAUUAAUAAAUCAUCUGAAAUAUUUGUUCAGAUUUCAAGCAUAUUAUUUUAAAAUUGUAUUUUUUACACAUUUUAAGCAUGUUGCCUAGUUACUUCUAAAAUUCUCUAAUGAUUCAAUUCAAUUAUAGCAACUUAUUAAAAUAAUUGUGCAUAAAUCACAUUGGUUCAGGCACCUAGAGAGAUUUUUUUUUUUUACCAUCAUGUAAUUAUGCGUACAUCUAAUACUUCUACUGCAGGGGCGGAGCCACCCACAGGCCAGCAUGUGUAGUGGCCCACCCUGAAAUUUUAGAUAAAAUAUUUAGUUAAAUAUAGUUCUAUGGAUCAUGUAUCAGUUCACCCAUAUUUCUCUUACAGAAAUUACUGUUGAUUCUGUUCAGGUUUAUAUUAAUUAGAAGGCGUGCGAUAUUAAUGUUACAUAUGGCUUGUGGUUUACAAAAGCAAUCAUAUAAAUGGACGACUUGUGAUUUCAUUAUGUGUAUUAAAGGUUAAAACAGAAUUUAGUGUGGAAAAGAAAUGGUUUAACAAAUACUGCCUCAAAAAGAAUCUGCGUUGUUAUGUUAGCCUAGCCCACUUUCAGUAAAACUCCUAGCUCGGACCCUGCUUCUACGUGUACUGUGAGUUAUAUGAUAUAUCCUACAAUAUGUUUUUAUAUCUCCUCAUAACCGAUGCAUGAGUAUUACAAGACAUAUUUGUGGAACAACUGUUGGUAUAUAUGCACUGUAAAGCAGGGAGAUAUAAUAUAAAACUAGAUUUUAUUAUAAUCAACUUAUUCUUAAUUACAAUUAAAGAGAUUCUUAUAUAACCAACAUCUAAAAAGUAAUAAGGUAAUAAUAAGGUAAACUUUUCUCAAAAGAAAACUGAUAUAUAAUGCAAUUAUCCAUUAAUAUUAUACUAAUAUAAUGAUAUUAUAUAUGUUAACUUCCCCUCAAAUUUACGUUGUUGAACCGAGAGUUUGUCAAACAAAAAACAGAGCUAUUAAAUCCAAAAGCCGCAAGCAUCCACAUGACACAACAGAGAAUUAAAGUAAAAAUUGCAAUUCAAGCAUAUCCAAACCGCAGGCAAAGUCAAGAAACACCCUGUAAGCGAGCGAACAAGAAACAUCCAUGUCAUACAUUAACCAACUAAAACUAUUUUAAAAUUCCUUUACGAGUGCAACCAAAACGAGCUCAAAUACAAGGUCUACUUCGAAGCCUAAGUAUAUUAGUACAGGAAACAAUUUGCACAAACUGCCAGGUCAAAGCUCUGUAUCCUCUGCUUACCGGACAAAACAGGAAGCUGAGAUAUGGUACGAAACCAAAUCCCAACACACACAUAUAUAUAAACAAUUGCUCAAAUACAAACCACUAAAUUAAAAACUAAAAUACAAACCAAGAGAAACUAUACCUAAAUAACAUCACCCACUCCCUAUAUGUCAUCACCCACCCCCUAUAUGUCAUCAUCCACCUAGGGCCCACCCUCGCCCCAACUCAAUCCACCCCGGCCCGCUAGGUCCUCGCCAAGACUCCGCAUAGGCCCUGGACAAGCUCCAGCCUUAAAAGCAAAAACUUAGCCCCACCAUGGUCUCACUAGGCCCGGCCCCGACCCUACUAGGCCCCACUUAGACCCCGUCUAGGCCCAUCUCGGGGUCCAUCCCCGGUCCCGAAACCCCUACCAUUUUAUUUAAUUGCAUUGGUUUGUAUUUUAAUAGUUUGUGUUGGAGUAGAACCUUAUUUAUAUAUAUAUGCAGGCAAGUGAUCAAAUACAAAUCAAGAGAAAUUAGUCCUAUAUUUAGUCUCACUCUCAUCCUACUAGAGCCUCACCAAGGCAUGUCUUGAGCUCCAGACAAGCUCAAGAACCAAUAUUUAGCCUCUCUCUCAUCCUACUAGGCCCUACCUAGGCCUCAGCAAGUCCCCUGGUCCAUCUUCAGGGUCCACAAACCUCCUCAUCCUCUUAAAAAGACUGGUUUGUAUUUUAGUUUCCAUUUAGUAAUCUGUACUAGAAUUCAAGAAUCUAAUUCCUAAGAUAUAUCAAAAAUAAGUAAGUACAGUGUUCCCAUUAAUUAUACCUACUCAGAUAGAUUUCCAAUUAUAAAAACUCACAUCCAAAUUAACACUCUUAGUUGAGCAUCAGUAAAACAGUAAAAAAGUAAAAAAGUUGCAUUCACACACCAACCCAAGAAAAACACAAAAUUACAGCUCAGGUAAGUUUGGGAGUACUAGAAUGAUACCUGGGACCAGAUCUUGAUGGCCAAGGCCUUAAUCUUCCUCAUGAAGUAAGUGAUUACUGUUGAGACGCUGAUGUAAUAUCGGGUUUUGCGGCAGGAAAGAUGAUAGAUUAACCAAAAUAAAAACAAAACAAAAGGCAAAACUACGUCGAACUUCUUCCAGUGAAACAUCGUUGAUGUCGGAAAUGUAAGAAAAAUAAGUUGGAAACCUAAGACGUCGGAGCCUGAGCUGCUCACGUUAGCUUUUGAAACAACGCGGAAAAGAAGAAAAGCAAAAUGGUUGUAGCAAAUGUUAGUAGCGAUGCCCGCCCGGGUCAGUUCUCGGAUUUUUAUUGGGAAUUUAUCAAAUAUACUAUUUUUUAGGAUUUUAUUUGCAAAAAUACCAUCUUUCUAAAUUAAUUGCAUAUUUACUAAACUAAAUUUCUAAAUUGCAAAUAUACUACCCCCUCCUAUUCUGAAAAUCUGGUCGAAAAUGACAUUUGGAGACUGGAACUUGAAAUCAGGCAUUUAGUUGCAUUCAGUUGCAUUUGGUUGCAUUCAGUUGAUUCUAUUUUGAUCUAAUGGCCCCGCCAGGGGCACCCAUACAUCAGUUGUAAUUUACAGUUUUCAGUUGCAUUUUGCUUAUGAGAUUGCAUAUUCAGUUGAAUAUUGCCCCUGCGGGGCCUGCAACCCAAAUCCACCACAUUAUCACCUCACCCUAAAAAAAUUCAGUUGCUCAUGAGGUUGCAUUCAGUUGAUUCUAUUUUGAUCUAAUGGCCCCGCCAGGGGCAUCCAUACAUCAAUUGUAACUUACAGUUUUCAGUUGCAUAUAUAUGAGAUCGAUUGCAUUCAACCAUAUGCAACCUCAUAUGCAACUGCAACUCCUGAUUUCAAGUUCCAGUUCUCGAAUGUCAUUUUCGACCUCAUCCUUGGAAUCCAUAUAUAUAUAUGUGUGGAUUCCAAGGAUGAGGUCGAAAAUGACAUUACGAAAACUGGAACUUGAAAUCAGGCAUUCAGUUGCACGUGGUUGCAUUCAGUUGCAAACUCAUUAGUGUUAACAUGAUAUUCAUCGACGAGAAGGUGUGUCCACAUAAAUAUAUAUAUAGGGGAGGGUUCUGGUACAAACUUACAAACUUACAAACCUUUUUUUGUUCAACACAUAUAUAACUUGAGUUCAACAUUUUUUUAACAUAUUUUGUUGAACAUCGAUUAAAAUAGUGGUGGAGAAGUACAUAAACCAAUUUUUAAAGAUAAGAACUAAGGUAAACAUGUUAUAUAACUAAUAUUUAUGUUUCUAGACCCUACCCAAACCCCAGAGGUAUAGUUUAAACAUAUUUUUAGAUAUGUUCAACACAAUGAUAAUUAGUGUUCAACACCCGAUGUUGAACCCCAGUUAUAAAUGUGUUGAAAACGCGAUUUAUUUAUGCGUUAUUUUUAAAAAUUGUGAUGUUUUUUGAAAAAUUUUCAACAUGGAUACUUUAUAUAACUAAGGAUUAACACGAUGGGAGAAUAAAAAAAAGUUUGUAAGUUUGUAACUUAAAAAAGUUUUCAUUUGAUCCUAUCCCUAUAUAUAUAUAUAUAUAUAUGGAUUCCAAGGAUGAGGUCGAAAAUGACAUUCGAGAACUGGAACUUGAAAUCAGGCAUUCAGUUGCAUGUGGUUGUAUUCAGUUGCAGAAUGGAGGAGGAGUAUUUUUGCAAUUUAAAAACUUAGUGUAGUAAAACUGCAAAUAGCUAUUCUUGAGAAAAGUAAAUUUGCAAAAAUUUACUUUUUCCUAUAUAUUUAUGAAAAAACCCCUUUUAUUUACUAUAAAUUAACUUUGUUUUAAAACCGAUCAUUAAUUAUCGAUUAAUUCUUAUUUCUUCGUAACUCGCUGAAUUGAUUAAAUCUUCGAUUAUUAUCUGAUUAAUAUUUGAUUAAUUCAAUUGUUUCAUCGGGCAAGUCUGAUUCUCGUUUUUUAUCACACUGAUUAUUAACAUUAUUUUCAACUGAUUAUAUUUAAGGAAAUUUAUAAAAUAUUCAUGUUUUCGGAUUUUUUCUAUGGGUACAUUCGAAGUUAUAAUUAUAUUGCGAGUUAAAUGAGGCCGCACCUUAUUUUGAACAUAAUUUCAAAAAUAUUUUGGAUUUUUUUAAAUUUAUGCUAAAGAUGAUUAUGUACAUUUUUAAUAUAUUUUUUUAAGCCACUAAGUAAUCUUUUGCUGCUUCGAAUUUUAAUGGUGUGUCAGAAUUUGCAACUGAAAAUAUAAUUAUUGAAAAUAUAUAUUUCAACAUCUAUAUUCUCUUUUAUAAUUAAAAUGUGUUCCGUUCAUGAUGAGUAUUUUUAGUAUAUAUAUAUCAAAUAAUUUUAUAAUAAAUAGUUAAAAUAUAUAGUCAAUUAUUUUCACAAUCAAGGUGGACACACAAAUAUCAAGAAUAUAUUUAAGAGUAAACUAUUUAAAUAAAAGAGGACAUAAACAAAGGUCGAGAACAAAGUUCACCUUUUAUCAACCAAAUACAUUUAUCCAUGAAGUUCUUGUACCACUUUUUUCCCAUGGGAAGUUAUUUGUUGCAUUGGACAAGCAAUUGUCACGCUAAAUAUAGUAAAUUUAAUAAUAAUAUAAAAAAAUUGUAUGAUCUCGUAGUAUUGGUUGAGACUAUAAUAAAAUUAUAUAAAGUAUUAGAAAUAUUUUUGUAAUAUAAAAAGUAGAUUUAGUAUUUUCAAUUUUACCUCAAAAAUUUAAACUCAAAUAUUGUCUUAUCUCAAAUAAAUUAAGGACAUUUUCGGAACUAUUAUUCAUUUAUUAUCAAUAUUUAGGUUCAUUAAUGAAAAGGCAAAUUUAUUGUAUAGAUAUAUCAUUGAUUUUACUUAAUUUAUCAUUUUCCAAUUAUUUUAUCUAUGAACUUUUGAAAUAAUAAAAGAAAUUACGUUUAUUUUUAUUAUAUAAGUGUUAAAAUCUUUAAACAUAUUCAUUAAUAAAAACAACAAAAAACCUGGCAUCGCGAUCUAAUCACACAGAUUAUAAUGUGAUAAAAUUCAUUUUUACUAUAAUUUAAAUAAUUUGUUUGUAACUGAGAUUUAUUUAUGCAUGUCCGUUCAAAAAUAUAUAUUAAAAAUACUUACAUAUUUUGAUAUCUACAUUAUUUAUUCAAUCUAGAAAAUCUCAUACUAGCCGGAUGUAAAAUAUAUAAAAUUUUGUCCGGACGUAAAGUUAGGGACGUAUUCAAUUCAAUUUUAAUGAAUUGUUUUAAUUUAUGAAUAUGAAAAUUUACCAAAACUACCACUUUUUCUAAGUUUUUUUGCGAUUUUACUAUCUUUUAAAAAAUAUUUACAAUAGUAAGAUCUGCAACUAGAUGUAAUUAGAUGCAAUUUCAAUUAAUUGACCCGCGUGUGUUGGAAGUAUGGUUGUAUCUAGUUGCAAGUAUAGUUGCAUUUGCUUGCAACAGGUUGCAUACAGUAUCUAUGUAAAUAUUUUCAAAAGUUUGAUAUUUUUGCAAAAUAUUUGAAGAAAGAUGUAGUAUUUUUGUAAAAAAUAUUUUGGACUUAGUAUUUAUGAGAAAACUCCUUUUGAUUAUAUGCGAAUUUUUAUAAAAUGUAACAGAAUUAAUAUUGAUUUUUAGGAUUUAAGAACAGUACUUCAAAAUCACAUGAAUUUCAGUCAGAUUUCAAACAACUUUUUUUGAUAACAAAGAAUCAAUUCAUUAAUUAAAAGCCAUACGGCAUCUACAAACACAAUCGAAAUUGGACAGACGCUGAAGAAUAUCGCUGUUGAAUCCUUCCUUCUUGGAGAGGCAACUGAGCGAUUUGAAGAUGAUUUGAAUAUACACACUUGUUUCCAUCUGAUUGGUUUUCACCUGAGUGUUCUGAACAAUCGACCAUAGAUGCGAUCCCAUAAUAACCUUCAAAUUUGAAUCAAAUCCAUGCAAAUCAUGCCGAUCUAUAACCUCGGUCAUGAAGAACAUCAAAACACACCAAAACAAAACAAACCAACUCUCACGAGAAGGAGAGACAAACAAAACCCAAAUAAAUUGGGAACUUAUUGAAUGAGAAAUAAGAUUUCAAAACAAGAAAACAGAAAAAAAAGAAAUUGGGGCUUUCCACCAGUGAAAACCGAUGGAAGCCCCUUCAAAAAUCUUUAACGGAGAUAGACAAUCUCAAAAAAUCCAUCAUUUGAUGAAGUUUGAAAAAAAUUCAUUUAAUGAAUUUUAAACAAUUCUCAAAUGAAUACCAUCACAUUUUAAGCAUAGUAUAAUAUUCAGAUCGAAUAUCACCCGAUUUUGUAGUAAAAUAUAAAAUCUCAAUCGAAUACCCCAAAAUUCUGAUUUUUUUUUAAAAUCCGAGUUAAAUAUCUCGAAUUUCAUGAAUAAACAAUUGAAUACACCCCUUAAUUUCUUAUUCAAACUCGUCAAUUUCUCUCGAACGACGAACAUAAUUAGUAAUUGUUUUGAUCAUUUUAUUUGUCCUUGAGAUCAUUAAUUUCUCCUGCAACAGGAAAAAUAAGAAAUUAUUUUGAUUGAUAUCUCAAAACAAACCAACCAUAUUUCCACUCGGAGAUGGCAUGCUCCAAAGAGACGCGUAAAAGAUGCUUUUAGAGUAUUGCAGGAAGACGAUGGGCAAUGAGUAUAAAGCGAUAGGAAAUACUUAUCAACGGCCAAGGAGUGAAGAACGAAGAUGAAACCGCGUGUCACAACAAAAAGAAAGACAAGAGGCAUUGUGGAUGUUUGAGAGAGCUUUUCUACCCGACGGACAUAAGUUAAAAAGUAAAAAAUAUAUAUAUUCAAAUACAUAUAAAUAUAUUUUACUCAGUAAGUUUAACUAACUUCUUAAUUUUAAACAUGAUUUUUUGAUUUAAUUUAGAGUAUCUCAUUAUUAUCUGCUCAAUAAUUUCAUAUUAUUUGCUUUUCGUUUUCAGUAUUAAUAUUUUCCGUAAAUUCAAAAACAUGGUCAAACAUCAUAUAUGUACUAUUUAAAACCUCCUCGAUUCUAGUCUUUUGUAUACGUUUACUGUUUACACAAAUUUCGAGACUUUUCUAAAGUAUAGUUUCAUAAAAAAAUUUCAAAAAUUGCCAACAAGGUGUUGGUGUGGUUGUAAAGCUCUUGUACCUCCUUGCGGGAGGUCGGGAGUUCGACUCCCCACAUGUGCGUGGCAAAAAAAAAUUCUAAAAAUUUAUUUGAACAAAAUUUUAGAUGUAAAAUUUUUAUUCAAAAAAAGAAAAAUUUAAAGACAUAUUAUGGAAUUAUACAUUAAAAAAGUCCUAAAAAACGUGAUAAAAAAUAACGUAUACAAUUUAAUGAGAUAGAGGGAGUAUAAACAAAUUUUAACUGUGAAGUCAAACAAUAACAUAUAUUUUAUUUCUUAUGUCCCUCUUAGUAGUUUACAUAUGAGAGGGAGAUGAAGACCAAUGCACUUCAUAUAAUAAACUAAACAGACUCAAAAAAUAUUUAAAGUAAAUUACACUUUGGACCUUAUAAUUACGAGUCCUUUUCGAAUUGGUCUUAGACAUUUUUCGUGAUAGAACACACCCCAUUAUUUAAUUCGCUUCGCUUUUGCACCCUUUUGAUCAUCCGUAAUUUGAGUGGAGCGUUAGCAUUAAUAGAGCCAAGGGUAUAGUAGUAAAAACAAUUAAUUAUCUCCCCAUGUUUCACCUUCUUUCUUCCUCUUCCGGCACCGCAGUAAGCGCCGGCGCCUAGGCAACCAUCAACAAACAACAACCAUCACCAUAACCUUUCGCCACUGCACAUCUUCCACUUGAACCCUCACAAUAUCUCCCUCGUGUCCAACCGCUUCCUAUUUGCUAGAAAAGCGACCACGCCGCCCCUUCAGCCACUGGAAUUAGUGUCACCCUGCCAACCUCCGAUCAAUCCUUCCGACACAUCUAAACAGCCAAGGCACAAUCAAUACGCAAGCAUACAAUAUCGAAAUCAAACAUACAAUUCAUACAUAUAGCUCAUCUCUUUUUAAUUGACCGGAGAGGAUUAUGAGAUUGUGAGGAAGAAUAAGAAGGGACUUAUUGAUCGGACGACGGCCGGACCGCCAUCGCGACUAGGAGUGAGCACGGUUCGGUUUGGACGGUUUUGGAGGUCCAAACCGAAUCAAACCGACUUUUUCGAUUUUGAAAAUUUACAAAUCGUAACGAAACUGAAUGUUAUAAAAACUAAUCCAAACUGAAUUGAUUCUUAACGGAUUGGUUCAGUUUGGUUUCGGUUUAAUAGCAAAAUAUUAAAAAAAAAUUGUACACUUUUAUUAAUUUAUAAUUCUAUAAUAAUUGUAGGUGCUCUCUUUUUUGUUACUUAACAAAAUAGUUAAUAAAAGAUAAAGGUGAAACUUGUAUCUCUUCGAUAUAAAUAAUUUUAGGUGCUACUCUUAUACAUAUUAAAAUAAAUAAUUUAUUUUAUUUUAAAACCGAAACAAAAUAUUUUAUUAAAAGAGAAAAAUAAGAAAGUUUGAUUAUUAAUGAAGAGUAAAUAAAAUAAAGAUGGAGAAAAAGGGGAAGACUAAUUUUAAAACGAAGAAGUAUUUAUAAUACUAAUCAACAUUCGAACACUUAAAUACCUAAACUAAAUAUAUGAAAAUAUUAAUUAUAUAACAUAUGUGCUAACGGUUCGGUUCGGAUAUUUCCGUCGGUUUAAAGGUGAAAACCAAAACCAAACCGAAGAUUUUCGAUUUUCUAAUUUUUCGGCUUUUUAAUUACCAAAAUCAAAAUCAAACCAAAUCGUGAAGAGACCGAAAUAUUCGGUUUGGACGGUUUGGAUCAUCACUCGUUUCACUUAAUUAUGCUCAGGUCUAAUCGCGACAACGCCAUCGUGAGAGCUUUUAUAUCAAAUAAGUGUAAAUACUAAAAAAUAUAUACAAAUACAUAAGUUAAAAUAUUACUUUUCAUUUAUAGCUAACUUCUUAUUUAUACCUUUUUAAAUUAAGAGAAGCGGCUUCAUUGUUUUAACACCACCCUUUCAUAUUAAUUAAUAUAAUACAUAGUUAUUUGAUUCGCUAUCUAACCAACACUACACUUCAUAUUAAUAUUAUUCAGAUUAAUAUAAUGAUUUUAUUCACUAUCCAGCCAACAUUACAGCCUGAUACUCUCAGUAAAUAAUACUACUUCCAUCUCAAAUUAGAUGAGCUAGUUGACUUUGAGCACGCAACUUUAGGUGCAUUGACCGUCUACUUCUGAAAUUUAUUUUUUUAUUUUUUUCUUUUGUAAAUGAAGAUUUCAUAUUUUAAUUUUUAUUUGUAAAAAUAAAAUUUUAAAAAUAAAUCAUGUAGCUAUGCGGUCAAUGAACUUUAAAUUGUGUGCCCAAAAUCAACAAGAUAUCUGAUUUGAGAUGAAGGGAAUAUGUAAUACGAGAACCAACAAAGUUAGGCACCUUCUCGCCCAUUGAUCUCCUUGUUGGUAUCUUGAGUGUGAAUAAUUUGUUUUGAAAGUCAUUUGUUUUGUUAACCUCUGGAUGAGACUAAAUUAGCUGAACCAUACGUCAUGCAGGGGGUUUGUUGAAGUUUGCAAAUUGCUGGACGACGACUGAGUAUCUUUUGGACGACCCGGCCGGCCGGCCUUUGUACAGUAUCUGGAUGGUUAAGAAAAACAUAUCAUAUGUACACACUUUCUAACCUUGUGUUUUUUGAUUUUUAUGAACUUUAAAAUUUAUAAUUUAUAAUAUUUUUAUAUAAAUAUAGCAUAUAGUCUUUAUUUGCAUACUUAUAAAAUAUUUUGAUUAUAUUAUUUGUUUAUCCGGAAAUUUUAUUUGUCAUAUUUUCACUCAUCCAUAAAUUUGAUUCAGAUUUAACAAAUGACCUCUUAGUAAAAAUAUAGAAUAUAAUUUUUUGUGUUUGGCAUAGAAUUGUGGAGUAAAAUAAUUUCAAAAUCUAAAUCAUAUUUAGAUAUUAUACGAUACUCCCUCAAUCUCACAUGUAUACAAUGAACAACAGGAGGUUGACACAUAUUUAAAGACUCCGUUAAAUUAUAAUUAUAUAUAUUAUUUUUAAUUUUUUUCUUCUAAAUAAAAUUAUAUGUUUAAACUUUAACUAAAAAAAGUAGAAAUAAAUUAUGAAAAUAGAUCUUAUCAAAAUAUGUCUCGAACAUAGAAAACCGUAUACAGUUGAAAGAGGCACAUAGAAUAUAUAAAAUGAAAUAUAGAGUGAUCUUAAAAGUCUUCACCACACUUUUGCGAAAUUAGGGAUGCCACUAAAUCCAUCGCCAACCCAUGGUCCUGUCCUGCUCCUGUACAACAGAUUUAAACCUCAACAAUAGAUAAAUAAAAUGCUUUAAUAAAAUAAAAAAAAUAUGUGAAGAAUAUAAUAUAUAAUAUUUACCACACCAAGGUGAAAAACAAUGAAACUUCAACAUGACCACAGCCAUAGAUACACAAUUUAUGGGACGAAGUCUCCACCAACAGCAGAUACUACAAAUUUAAGGAAUUUAAAAUCUCAUUACAAACAUUUACACACCGGGCACUCGGGCAGGGUAUUGUAGAACAUAAAAUUUAUAAUGCACAUCUUUAUCAUUGAUGUAAUAUCUUACUGCAGCUUCAAUUUUUGGACAAACCCCUUGCUCACCAACCAUUGAAUCGUUAAUUAGAUCUAUAGCUUGUCAAUCCGUAGCACCACCAAGGCACAUCAACCGCGGUUUUUGAAUCUUCUUUUAAUUCUUGAGCUUGUGCGGCCAGAAAAACGAAGCCAACCAGGUUUCCAAAGCCCAUAAUUAACAAUCCAUGAACUGUGUCUUCUGGGUUGUAUCUACGGAGAAGAAAAAAACAAUGCGCGUCCACAACGAAAACAAAAAAGAAUAAAAAGAGCAACGCAAACCACCUGCCAAUUAUCCAGUUCUUACUCCACACUGCAACAGGCCUACACAAAGCAAGAGAAGCGAAGAAUUAGGAGAGAUAGAUUACCCAGUGUACUCGGGUCAGAUAUUAAUUCAGGUAAGGCCAAAUGAUUAAUUAGUACUCAUACCAACUUCCAAAGUAGUUAGAAGCAGAAAGGUUAUAUAUUACUUGACAAGAAUACUCUAGGCAACAUCAAAUCACAAAAACAACUCUCAUAAGAACUUCAGCACACAAUAAUACAAUAUCUGAUUGAUUGAGAAAUUAUUCACUAGUACUUAAAAGACUCCUCAAAGUUUCUGAGAUUUGUAUUGUUGGAAGAACGCCUUGAAAUAAUUUUGUACACCUAGUAUAUUAAUGGUUCUCCAGCUACCCAUGGUUACAACACAAUAUCAGUUUUUUCCCUUUAAAUCUCUGAUCAUUUGCAUUUCUCUUUCACUCUCACCCAUAUUUGAUUUUACUUCCACCAGAGUUGACUAGAAUAGCCACUCCUACCCAGUAUCUCAAUACCAACUAUGUUCCAAUCACUGCCUACCUGGUCCAGUAAUCAAAUACGUCACUAUUCAUCUUGCACACUGCCCAACUUACAGUUUAUUCUGACUUAAACAUCACCAGUUCUUGUCUCCCUGCUAGGUUUUCUUCAAAAGACCUCGGUUCAUAUGAUUAUUUUAGCGUGUUCGGAUGUGGCAGAAGCCUAAUAUUGUUCUGUCACAAAAACUGAAUGGCACCCACAUGGAGGAUAGUAAUGGUGUCAUUACAACUUUUGGUUCCAUUCUUCUUUAUUAAGACUUGAACAAGCCAGAGAAGAAGGGACUUGGUAUCUAUACUAAACAAGUUGCAAUACCUUUCAUUCACUAGGCCAGAUAUUUCCUUCCUUUUUUCCUAACAAAUUGACCAAGUUUACGCACCUUCCCAGUAGCAAGCUGUUAAGCAGUUGUGUUUUCUAAAGCAUGGUGCAUCAUAUUGAUUAUUUUUUGCGCGAACACAGAAAAUGAAAUGUCCAGCUUCAGACUCCAAUUGUGCUGGCGAUCUUUCACAAACAUCCUCUACAACGGGCUCUCAGAGUUGGAGCCAGCAACUGAAGCUACAGUGCACCAAAUAUGAUAGCUAAAUAUAUUGUACCAACUAUAAAAAUAAACUCAUCAAAUAUGAGAACUGUGUUGUUAAAUCAAUAAAAUCAAACGUAAUAUAAGAUCACAAUAGUGUGUGUGUGUGUGUGUGUGUGUGUGUGUACAAUCUACUGCAAAAAUAGAAGUGUGGAAACUGUUGAACUGCUGAAGUUAAAAACAAAGAGGAAGGGGGGAUGAAAGGGAAGGAAGCCGGGCUAGUUUACAAAGAUGAUAGUGCAACAAAAACAACUCGCAAGAGAAGUAUCAAUAGAAAAGGAAAGAAAAAAAGGUUGAUCAUGAAUUAAUAAUUUCAGCAGGGACGGAAAAACUCCAGAAAGUUUGUGGGAUUUGUAUGAAGUGAGACCUAUGUAACUGAAAGAGAAAUAAUAAUAAUAAUAAUAAUAAUAAUAAUAAUAAUAAUAAUAAUAAUAAUAAUGAUAAUGAUAAUGAUAAUAAUAUAAUAUAAUAUAAUAUAAUAUAAUAUAAUAUAAUAUAAUAUAAUAAAUAUAAUACAAUAUAAUAUAAUAAAAUAAUAAUAAUAAUAAUCCAUAGAUGAUAAGCACAAGUGCACUAAAAUUAGAUUCAAAAUUAAUUACAAUAGUUAACAUUCUACAAAGACAUAGUAGUAAAUAAUAGUAGUAACAACUAGAAAUCUAGAAUAAGUCAAUAUAGCAGUGGUGAGAAAAUGAUAAGCCUCAAGCUAAGAUACUUAAGCCUAUCUCUUAUAACUCUAUGUAUAAUAUGUCCAUUUUUUAUUACUAUGUACAUAUAAACCUGGCUGAAGUAAGACAUCUAAUGUUAUGCUAGUUAAACCAGCCACUCCGACCAGAAAUCUCAACACCAACUAUGUUCCGAUAUGUCACUCUUUAUCUUGCACACACCCCAAUUUACAGUUUGUCCUUGCUUAGGUAAAUGAGUUGAACAUCACCAGUUGUUCUUGCCUCUCUGCUAGGUUGUUUCCUCUGAAGACCUUGGUCCACCGAAUUAUUGUAGAUGUGGCAAAAGCCUAGUGGUAUAAUUCAUUCACCUAUUGCUUCCACUCCUCUUUACGUAUAGUCAUGGUUCUAAAAAUCCCCGAUUUGGCCGAUUUAUCCCCUGUAAGGCGCCUUCCUGAUUUGGAUUUUAAAAUCCGAUUAAUCAUUCUAAAUUUUCUUAAAUGUCAUGGUAUGUAGUAAAUUAAACUAAUAUAUCAAAUAUUAUUAUAAUAUUAUAAAACAUCCUAUUUUUGAUCUGAUCAUCCGAUUAAUCCCUUAUCAACACCUCCACUGAUCAGUCCUAGUUACCGAUUUUUACGACCAUGCCUAUAGUAAGAGUUCUCGACAAAUUACAAUAUGUUUCAUUCACUAAGCCAGAUAUGUCCUUUCAUUUUCUGCGAACAAAUUGUCGAUGUAUAUGCAGCGUCCCACCAGCAAGGUGUUAAGUAGCUGUUCUUCAUCCAAAGCAUAGUGCAAAAAAUAUCAUCUAUUCAGACUCCGAGGUCUUCGAGGCUUUCAGAGAUGGAGCCACUAGGGACAUACUAUUUUUUAGAUUAAGACUAAAGGAUUCGUGGGAUUUAAGAGGAUAUCAUAUAAUGAUAUGCUAAACAUGUGUGACUAAUAUACAAAUAAACUGAUUAAAUACGAGAAAUUGUUAGUAGUCUGCAAAAAAUAAAAUUGUGAAAUAUCUCAGGUUAUACAUAGAUCCUGGGAUCAAAGCAUAAUAAAAAAAGCUGAAAUCAAGUAACACAAACAUAAACUCUGAGAGCAAAGUGAUGAAGUUAAUU